rnacentral:ncRNA from 1 species
UGAUCUGGAGAGAGGCGCUGGAAUGCGUCCACCGAAGGGGAAGGCCGGGCAAUUCGGCUAAGCUCUCAGGUAAAGCGAACAGAUGGGGACG